rnacentral:tRNA from 2 species
GCCCUGGUGGUGUAGCCUGGCGCGGCCUAAAUAAGCUUGCUUAUUAAGCUGCAGGAACUAUCAUGAAGCCCUGUCGCGGCUUCGACCCGGGUUCAAAUCCCGGCCAGGGCG